GACGUAGGGCGCGAGCGUUGUCCGGAUUUAUUGGGCGUAAAGAGCUCUAGGCGGGCUUUGUCGCGUCUGCUGUGAAAAACCCCGAGGCUCAACCUCGGGGCCGCAGUGGGGUACGGGGCAGACUAGAGUGCGGUAGGGGGGAGACUGGAAUUCCUGGUGUAGCGGUGGAAUGCGCAGAUUAUCAGGGAGGGAAACACCCGAUGC
rnacentral:rRNA from 1 species